AGAGAAGCCGUAUGAUGACACAGGUUCAAUCUUUUUUUCGGGACACAUUUCUGUGAUAUUGAGUUGCACAGAUUGAUACACAACAGAAACUCCACACAACAGCAGUGACUGACGUUACACAUACAGUCGGUCUAUGUCUCCGCUAACUCGCUUAGCAAAGUUAGCUUCAGAGAAGGACUCACCACUUCUUUUGCCUUCGGAGAGAAGCCGCUUCUUGGUCUGCUCCGCUUAAGAAUCUCAUCUUUCGUGGAAUCGAAUCCGAUUCCUAUUGCUUUAUUUCUGGUUUUGACGGUUUUGACGCUGGCUUUAAAAAGUAGGGUUAUGUCCACAGCCAUGUCAGCAGCUGGUCCUCAAAGACGCAUGUAAACAAGCUGACACGUCACCAGAUGUAACGUCAUCAUUCUGCGCCGGAGCUUAUUGUCCCUGAGACGGAGGAGAAGGCCUUGUCUUCUGCAUUUCAACAUUUCUACGGUCAUUUAAAGCGAUACCGUACCUGCAAACUUCAUUUUGUCGAAUUCAGUGGGCGUCUAAACAGAAAGCGAUGCCAAUGGAAUUACUGGAGGGAAUGUCUAGCAGAAAGCGCAGACCCAACUGGACGGAUCGGGAAUGCCUUUUUCUUAUUCAGCUUAUGCAGGAGAGAAGAGACGUUAUCAGAGGAAAGUGCAAUGCAGGCGUGACCGUAAUAGAUAAAAGACAAGCUUGGGAAGAGAUUUCUCUGGCUAUCAACACAGCUUUCCCACAGUACCAUCGGACGGUCUCUGACUGUAGCAAAAAGUGGGAGAAUCUGCUGGCAAAGACAAGAGAGGAGAUCAAGCGCCAAAAAAGACAAGUGGGUGAAGAUGAAGGAGUUUGCCUUGAACAGUUAAGUACUGUAACCCGGGCGGUCAUUUCGGUGGUGAACUGUGCUCAUCAACAGCAAAGAGAAAUGUCUCCCAUCUCAUCACUUGUAGAGGCUGAGCAAAACAGCUGCGAUAAUGAUGGGAACCCCCACACACAAGGUGAAAGAUUCACUAUUAAACACCACCAGGGAGACCUUUCGCCCUCUGCAUAUUCAGAUGAUCCAGCUGUUCCACUGGUGGAACACAAAGUUCCCCCCUUUCUUCACAUCCCAAAGUUACUUCCGGUACAGUAUCAACAUGGCAUGGAUUAUUCUGUCGGCGGGGAUCCAGCGGAUACGCCCUCCUCCAGCUAUGCUCCCUCGGCUGCUGUACAAGAAAGGAUGGACUUGGAAAUGUCGGUGUUGCGGAGACAAGAUGCUGUCCUUAAACUGCAAGAGGAAUAUUACACCCUGAAAAUUAAGAAGAUGAAAAGAAAAAUGGAAGAGGAAGUUAUAAAAGAUUGAAGAGGAGAGAGUGACUUAAGAUACCUCUAGAAUGUGACCAACAACUGAAACACUGUAGUAGAUAAAAUCCUGACGCUGUUCUAUUAGAUUAGAUAUCCUUUGUUUGUCCCAUAUCUAAUGUAUGUGUCAUUUUUAUAAUCUGUGUGAGCUAAUUGUGUGCACGUUGAAUCAUGCAAGAAAGUCAGUGUAGUUAACCUGCUUCUAUUUUCUAAGAAUUAGUAGAGAACAUUUCAUUUCCAGUUUUGGUAUUCUUUGUACUUCAUGUCAUACUCAUUUUGAUCGGAUUAGAUUAGUAUCAUAUAUUAUCUCAAAUGAAUAUUCCCAGUCUCGCAGUCAGUAAUCUGGACGCAUAACAAUAUUGCGUGAUAAAACAAUCUGUCAACACUAUAUUAUUUAUCCUCACUGUUCUUUAAAUUAUUUUUAAUUAAAGGGUAUAAAUAAGAUGCAAUUUGUUUUAUGAUAUGUUUUUAUUUUUCUGAUCUAUGUGGCCAUAACUAAUACUUUGGAGCUGUUUUAAGUCCUGAGUAAGAAAUGCUUCUCUAACUGGAAAAUCAAAGUAUAUUCUACAUGUAUUGAGACUGAAAGAGCGAUUGUUCUGUGGUGUCACCUGGCAUCCGAUGAAGAGCAACAUGACACUCAAAUGAAUGUUUGUGACUGGUGAAGUCAGUCUGACUUGAUGAAUGACUGAACCUGUUAGGUUGUGAAAGACCAAUAAUAAAUUGUA